rnacentral:misc_RNA from 1 species
UUCCAUGUGAACAGCAAUUGG